UAGAAAAGGCUACAAAGUUCAGUAUUUUAAAUAUUAGCAGUGAGCUCUUUUCCAGAAACCUAAUCUCAGUGGCUGUCAAUAAUUCACCAACAUAUAGAAAAAUAUUUGAUGAAUUUGAAGCUGAAUUAUCUUCUAUAACUGAUCUUUCACAAUUAAUCAAUCGUUAUGAGACAUUUUUGGGUUGUCUAUCAUGUGAUAGUGGACCAGCUAAAGGUGCAGUUGAUAGUUUAACUGCUGAUUGGAAUGAAUUUAAGAAGCAAUGUAAUGAAGAGAACACUUUUUCCUAUGAAGUUUCAUGUGAGGAAACAUUUUAUCAAGAGGAAAUUCCAUGGUUUGUUAUCGGGAAACUAAUCCAGCAUACUGGUGGAGAAAAGGCACCGAGGGAAUUACACAUAAAAAAACAAAAUUAUACUGAGCUACAACCCCAAGGUAAGUUACUAUAACAUGUUUAUUUAUAAAACCUUUUACUUGACAUUUUCAGGAUAAGUUUUUUAAUUUAUAAUUUUUGAGCCUGAAAUUACAGUAAAAAUUAAAAUACAAUUAGAAAAAUGGCAUAGUAAGAUGGUCAGCAAAAGUGUUGGUAAAUGAGGGUGGCUCUCAGAGUUGUGGCAGAAGAUCUUGCUUGUAGUCUCACCAUCCUGUGCUUAUUGCACAUAAAAUCUAAUUUUAAGACUGAG